rnacentral:rRNA from 1 species
GACGAACGCUGGCGGCGCGCUUAACACAUGCCAGUCGAACGGAAAGGCCUGCUUUCCCUUGUGGAUUGCGGGUACUCGAGUGGCGAACGGGUGAGUAACACGUGAGUGAUCUGCCCCCAACUUGGGUAUAAGCCUGGGAAACUGGGUCUAAUUCCCGAUAGGACUGCAGGGUGGUGCCUGUGGUGGAAAACGAUUUUCUAGUGGUUGGGGAUGAGCUCGCGGCCUAUCAGCUUGUUGGUGGGGUAAUGGCCUACCAAGGCGGCGACGGGUAGCCGGCCUGAGAGGGUGGACGGCCACAUUGGGACUGAGAUACGGCCCAGACUCCGACGGGAGGCAGCAGUGGGGAAUAGUGCACAAUGGGCGGAAGCCUGAUGCAGCGACGCCGCGUGGGGGAUGACGGCCUUCGGGUUGUAAACUCCUUUCGACCGCGAGGAAGCCACCUGGUUGGAAGGGUGGUGACGGUAGUGGUAGAAGAAGCACCGGCUAACUACGUG